rnacentral:rRNA from 1 species
GAUGAACGCUGGCGGCGUGCCUAAUACAUGCAAGUCGAGCGAACGGACGAGAAGCUUGCUUCUCUGAUGUUAGCGGCGGACGGGUGAGUAACACGUGGAUAACCUACCUAUAAGACUGGGAUAACUUCGGGAAACCGGAGCUAAUACCGGAUAAUAUUUUGAACCGCAUGGUUCAAAAGUGAAAGACGGUCUUGCUGUCACUUAUAGAUGGAUCCGCGCUGCAUUAGCUAGUUGGUAAGGUAACGGCUUACCAAGGCAACGAUGCAUAGCCGACCUGAGAGGGUGAUCGGCCACACUGGAACUGAGACACGGUCCAGACUCCUACGGGAGGCAGCAGUAGGGAAUCUUCCGCAAUGGGCGAAAGCCUGACGGAGCAACGCCGCGUGAGUGAUGAAGGUCUUCGGAUCGUAAAACUCUGUUAUUAGGGAAGAACAUAUGUGUAAGUAACUGUGCACAUCUUGACGGUACCUAACCAGAAAGCCACGGCUAACUACGUGCCAGCAGCCGCGGUAAUACGUAGGUGGCAAGCGUUAUCCGGAAUUAUUGGGCGUAAAGCGCGCGUAGGCGGUUUUUUAAGUCUGAUGUGAAAGCCCACGGCUCAACCGUGGAGGGUCAUUGGAAACUGGAAAACUUGAGUGCAGAAGAGGAAAGUGGAAUUCCAUGUGUAGCGGUGAAAUGCGCAGAGAUAUGGAGGAACACCAGUGGCGAAGGCGACUUUCUGGUCUGUAACUGACGCUGAUGUGCGAAAGCGUGGGGAUCAAACAGGAUUAGAUACCCUGGUAGUCCACGCCGUAAACGAUGAGUGCUAAGUGUUAGGGGGUUUCCGCCCCUUAGUGCUGCAGCUAACGCAUUAAGCACUCCGCCUGGGGAGUACGACCGCAAGGUUGAAACUCAAAGGAAUUGACGGGGACCCGCACAAGCGGUGGAGCAUGUGGUUUAAUUCGAAGCAACGCGAAGAACCUUAUCAAAUCUUGACAUCCUUUGACAACUCUAGAGAUAGAGCUUUCCCCUUCGGGGGACAAAGUGACAGGUGGUGCAUGGUUGUCGUCAGCUCGUGUCGUGAGAUGUUGGGUUAAGUCCCGCAACGAGCGCAACCCUUAAGCUUAGUUGCCAUCAUUAAGUUGGGCACUCUAAGUUGACUGCCGGUGACAAACCGGAGGAAGGUGGGGAUGACGUCAAAUCAUCAUGCCCCUUAUGAUUUGGGCUACACACGUGCUACAAUGGACAAUACAAAGGGCAGCGAAACCGCGAGGUCAAGCAAAUCCCAUAAAGUUGUUCUCAGUUCGGAUUGUAGUCUGCAACUCGACUACAUGAAGCUGGAAUCGCUAGUAAUCGUAGAUCAGCAUGCUACGGUGAAUACGUUCCCGGGUCU